GCGACGUGCCCGACUGACCGUCGGAGGGGUCCGAAUCUCCACCCGACACCGCUCAGCUGGCCACCGACCUAAGGUCAGUCGACUCCUCCGAUCGCCGUACUACUGCCAGAGACUGUCAGUCCUGACAGCAGCAUGCGGCACUGCCGCCUAAGGGCAUUAUCCCGCCUAGGGCAUUGUCAACCCUAGUGAUUUGACAGCCCCACGGCGACGUGACAUUUUCACG
rnacentral:lncRNA from 1 species